ACUAUAACUCAGGGGUGCCUUAUGGCUGAGAUCUAUACCCUUUGAACCUGAUACGGAUAAUUCCGACGCAGGGAGAGAUGAAAUCUACCAU
rnacentral:ncRNA from 2 species